GAGCCUCCAGGAGGUGGAAACUGGACAAAGUCCUCAGGUCACUGAAGGGUCUGCUUAGGAAAAGAUUAAUGCUGUUCUGAAGAGAUCCCUGGAGUUUUAUGAGUGUAAGUAAUUAUAAGAGUAAUGCUCACCAUUGAUUCUCUCUCAUGUUCCUGUUUGGUGAUUUGGUCUUUCCAUCAAUUGUGGCACCAUCUACCAUCAGGUUGUCAUCAGAGAAGAGCUGAUGCUGGCAACAUGCCAUGGAAUCUGCUGAAUUCAUUCUCUCCUCUUUUUCCUUCUUUCUCCACCACUCCUUCCUGAUCACACUCUUAUUUAUCUAUUUAGUUAUGUGUUUCUUUAAAGUUUUUUGUUUGAGAACGUAUUACUGCAUGUAAUGUGCUUUUAUCAACGCUGUCCCCUUUCCUUCACUUACAAUUUCUUCCCUGUACCCCUAUCACUCAUCCUUCCAACUUCAUGUGC
rnacentral:lncRNA from 1 species